rnacentral:ribozyme from 12 species
UUUUUUUUUUUUUUUUUUUUUUUUUUUUUUUUUUUUUUUUUUCUAUUUUUUUUGUUAAAAAAGAAUACAAGGGAAAUUAAGAUGGGCAACCCCUUCGCCAAGAAAAGAAUAGCUGAAGCCA